GACACUAGCAAUUCCUACAAAGCCAGCAUCGACUUUGCACCAAAAAGUUGUCCUUCUGAAAAGAUAGCACCAACCAUGCACCAAAAGCAAUUAAAAAAUUCCACCCUAACAGUACGACUCCAUCGAUCUGCUACAAAAUUACCAGGGCAGAUUGCACGACCGCAUCGACCUCCGACAAAAGUCUGAAGACCGGACAACGUGCAUCCACCGAUGUCUACUCCUGGAUUCAACUCAAGAUGAAGUCCGAAGCUGAGAGACUUCUUCUCCAUCUAUACAAAGAAGCCAAGACCUGAGAAGAGGGAGACUCCUCUCCUCCGGAGCUAAAGACAAACAUUAGUUCUUUCUGAUUCAAGUCUCAAUAUCCUUCUAAUUCUUGUAUUCUAAUAUAGUCCAAUUAUCAAAAAUCAAAAGUCAAUUUUGUAUACCUAUUUUGUGUCUAAAGUUCAUCUUGCAGCCUAUCCAGUAGAGGUUUGCAAGGAUGAUGGUUGUAAUUCCUUUCUUAUCAAUAAUAUAUAAGUUUCAUUUCUUCAAAUUUUAACUUGUUCUCUUGUUUGAAUGUUGCUUAUGACAAUGGUACUAAAGCAAUUUGUUCUCAAAAUUGUGAUUGUAAGAUUACUCGAUCUAGCUCCAAAUUAUUUUUACUAUUUUAUCUCUUUCAAAAUGAUAUAAUUCUUCAUCUUC
rnacentral:lncRNA from 1 species